AAGCAUGGGCCAACACCGCACCAGAUCCGUUAAACGGACUCCCAUCUCCAUGGGAGACACGCUGAAAACUAAUCUUAAGGUCAGCACCUUGAUAACUUGUAGCUCUUGUAAACGUGAAGUAUUGUCCAGAAGCAGUCGCCCAUCUGUUAAAAGCUCGAGUAACAGGUGGCAUAAACCGGGUUGGGAAAAGUGGCCCAAACCCGUAAGUUAGCUGCCUUUUAACACUAGGCCAUUUUGGUGUUCCGGGAAGGAAUUGGUAAUGCGAGACUAUGUGGAAAGAGUUAUGAGUGUGUUGGGGAAUUACUUUAUCGGGGAAACCACAACGAGGCAUUGCCAUCUGGGAUAUCGUUGGCUCGUCAAGCGUCCCUGUCGCAUUGAGAUGGUAGUAGACCUGGUACGACUUGAGCGCUACCUCAAGCUCCUCGGUAAAAUGAUCUUCUUCAAGGUCUGCGAGAUUUGGGUUUUUCUGGUAGUUUAGGUAUCCGAAAUGAGAAAGAUAGAGUUUAAGGUCACGAAUGCCUUUUACUUUAUCGCCCUUAUGAGAACCUUGCAUGGCUUUAAGGAACCCAAAAGGCGACGACUUCGUAUCUUUACUGGACAAUGUAUUUGGUCGUAAAUGUGUGUCGUGAGGAUGUGAAAGAACUGUUAGCAUAAAGGAAGCAAGAAGGAGCAUGCAUGAAAAGGGAAGAAAGAGUUUAGAAUCUCUAGAUGCCAUUACAACUUCUAAGUUUAGAUGUUGAAAUGUUGAGAGUACUUCUUUAUGAGGUUUAUAUUCAGGGUCUCUAUUUAUAGUGAUUUU
rnacentral:lncRNA from 1 species